rnacentral:rRNA from 1 species
AAUCAACGCUGGCGGCGUGCCUAACACAUGCAAGUCGCGCGCGAAAGGGGGCAACUCCCGAGUAAAGCGGCGAACGGGUGAGUAACACGUGGGUAAUCUACCUUCGAGUGGGGAACAACACCGGGAAACUGGUGCUAAUUCCGCAUGACAUCGUCGGGGCUUCGGUUCUGACGCUCAAAGCUGGGGAUCGCAAGACCUAGCGCUUGAAGAUGAGCCCGCGUCCGAUUAG